CUCGUGGAAUCCUAUUUCUCACAUUUCCUCGUCUCUUUUGUAUCCACUUUACUGACAUCUCCCUCUCUCUCCCCCUCGUUGAGCAACGACGAUUCCUUCCUCGCUAUUUCCUUCCCCCCCUCUAAGCUCUACGCGAGUCGAGACGACACCGAGAGAAGACUGCUAGCGAGCGAACUGGGAAAGCGGGGGUGGGGGGGUGGGGGGCGCGGGGGAGAGAGAGAGAUGGCUUCGUUCAUUGCGGGGGACUGGACCAGUCGCGACGCUUCCAUGAUGGUCGACAUGGAGAGCCACCAUCACCAACAGCAGCGGCAACUCCAUCCGCCUCUGCAGGCCCAGCGCCGGGCGCCUUCCUCCACUUGCGACCUCCACCCGGGCGAGACCGUCACUGGCUUCUGCGCAUCUUGCCUCCGCGAGCGCCUCGCUGGCCUCGAGACCCCCACUGCUGCUUCCGGCCGCAAGUCCACCUCCGCCCUCCGAUCCGUGUUUUGCAAGGUGACCGCUGGUGCCGCCCCUUCCGCGGGCCCCUCAUUCCUCCGCCGGUCCAAGUCCUUCUCCUUUGGCCGCGGCGGCGGCGGCGGCGGCGGGGGCGGGGCCGGCGACGGGUUCUCUGCCCAGCGACCCCCCGCCGCCGCCUUCGAGCCCCAGCGCAGGUCCUGCGACGUCCGCGGCCGCAGCACGCUGUGGUCCCUCUUCCACGAGGACGACCGCCACAGGGGGCCUCAAAGCGCCUCGACCUCCACCGUCGCCGCGGCGUCUGCUGGGGUAGCAAACGAUGUGGUGUGCCGGAACCAAGGCCAUUCGGGUCCCUCCGUCGCCCCUCCCGUCCCCGAAACCCGCGAAGAGGAGGUCGACGACGGCGGCGACGAGAUCAGGCCUGUUGACCCUGUCGUCCUGGUGGUCGGAUCCUCGGGGGAGAUAACUGAGGAAAGGCAGGAGGGGGCUGAGGAGAAGAAGGCGGAACUGAAGCCGAUGAAGGACCACAUAGAUCGCGACUCCCAGCAGCAGGCAAAGAAACCGCCGUCCAAGGACCUCAAGGAAAUCGCCAGCAGCUUCUGGCUCGCGGCCUCCGUGUUCAGCAAAAAGCUCCAGAAGUGGGGGAGAAGACAGAAGCUGAAGAAGCAAGGCGGCGACGCCGCAAUGCCGGCGGAGAAGCCAGCCAAGACAUCCCGGCGGUUUCGCGACACGCAGUCGGAGGUCGCCGUGGAUGCCUCCGGCCGGAGAUCCUGCGACACCGACCCGCGCUUCUCUCUGGACGCCGGCCGGAUGUCCUUCGACGACCCCAGGUUCUCGUGGGACGAGCCGAGGGCGUCUUGGGACGGGUACCUGUUUGGAGGCCGAUCCGUGCUCCCUCGGCUCCCUCCCAUGCUCUCCGUCGUCGAGGACGCCCCCGCCCCUGCUGUCCAACGGUCAGACUACCUGAUCCCCGUCGAGGAGGACGCCGCGAUCCCAGGGGGGUCCACGCAGACUCGAGACUACUACUUGGACUCCUCCAGUCGGCGGAGGCGAAGCCUCGACCGCUCCAGCUCCGUCAGGGAGCAGCCUGUCGAGACCAGUGAGCCUAAGCCGGUCUCCAACGGGAAGGUAUCCCCUGCAAAUGGAAUGGACUUCUUACACUUUCACCAUGACACCUUACUUGACCGGGAUGUGAAAGACUGGAGCUCGAAUUCUCUGAGGGACGAUUACUCGGGCAGCUUCGAGUCGGCUUUCAGGGAUCCUCACAGAGGUGCUGCUGCCAAAAAGUCCAGGAGGUGGAGCAAAGCAUGGAAUAUAUGGGGUUUUAUUCAGCGAAGAAACAGUGGCAGAGGAGAAACCAAUAUGGUCGAGCGAUCCUUGUCGGAGACCUGGCCGGAGCUAGGAUCCAAGAGCUUUAGUAGCAAGAUUCUCCGGAGUAAUAGCAGUGUGAGCUUCAGGAGCUCUUUCAGUGGCAGUGCCGGGUUUGGGGGCACGAAGAACAGCAGUACGAAGCCCAAUGGCAAUCAUAAGAACAGGAGAGAUGAAUUUGGUUUGGAGAGGAACAGAAGUGCUCGGUAUUCUCCAAACCAUGUAGACAAUGGCAUGCUGCGGUUUUACUUGACGCCGAUGCGAAAUAGCCGGAGGACUGGAGUUUCAGCGAGCGGGAGACAGAUACCUUCCCAAUACUUCACAAGGAGCUUGCUUGGAUUGCAUUGAGCUGAUUCUUCCUUCCUUCUAUCAGGUUCCUAUUCUUCUGUUAAAUCUGUGUCUUAUUCUGCUGGAGAUUGUUGGAACAAUGCUGUUUUUUGUGCUUCAACAAUAAUUGCCUUCGCCUAACCCACUUUAAAUUGUGAUCAACUUACAGAUUGUUGGAGAAUAACAUCUGAUCAUUAUGGAACCUACACUAACCAGUGAGAUCAACUUAUUAGCAAUGGUGAUCCUGUUCAGAGCAGAAAAUGUGGUCAUCACUCUGGGAUUAUUUUCUUUUCUUCUUGGUUCAUGGACCCUCACUGCGAAAGUGUAAUAACAUUUUUUUCGGUAAAUCGAAGUCAGCUUGAUGCUGAGGCCAUGUUACAUUAUGCUCAUAUAUAUGGGGACUGGGAAUGACAAAAAGCUCAAGUAUGGGAACUUGAUGAAUCAUGAAUCAGGGGGAUUCAGAUUUCACUUUGCUUCUAGCCCUUGCCACAUUUUACCCAGGAGCCGGUGAUACCGCCUCAAAUCCAGCUGAAAACUACUAAUUCUGGGUUGAUCUGAUCAAAAGAUUUAUAAUGGCAGCCUAAUUUGAGUGUCAGUCCUUUUCCUAUCUUUUCCUCCAUGUCAUUUGCACAGCAUGAGACGAUACCUGAGUCUGCAAGCAAGCAAACAGGACACAGCGUGAAACACUCGUUGGAGAAGAAAGGUGACUGCACUAACUCUACCCUGGAGAUUAUUUGUGUUGUUCUUACCCAUAAAUUCCCAGGCCUUGUCAAUAAUUCUCUUGUUCUUGCAGUCUCUAUGUGUCUUAAGCAGUUCA